CCUGGCGGCACUAGCGCGGUGGUCCCACCUGACCCCAUGCCGAACUCAGAAUUUAAUCUUCAUCGUUUCUAUGGUAGUGUGGGGUCUCCCCAUGUGAGAGUAGGGAACUGCCAGGC
rnacentral:rRNA from 1 species